rnacentral:rRNA from 1 species
GACGUAGGGCGCGAGCGUUGUCCGGAUUUAUUGGGCGUAAAGAGCUCGUAGGCGGCUUGUCGCGUCGACUGUGAAAACUUGGGGCUUAACCCCAAGCCUGCGGUCGAUACGGGCAGACUUGAGUUCGGCAGGGGAGACUGGAAUUCCUGGUGUAGCGGUGAAAUGCGCAGAUAUCAGGAGGAACACCAGCGGCGAAGGCGGCAUCCUGGACCGAUACUGACGCUGAGGAGCGAAAGCCAGGGGAGCAAACGGG